rnacentral:tRNA from 1 species
GGGCGAUUAGCUCAGCGGUAGAGCGCUUCGUUCACAUCGAAGAUGUCGCAAGUUCGAUCCUUGCAUCGCCCACCA